AGCAGCCAUAGAUAGCACCCUGCAGCCCAAGACUGGUUGCCUACUGAAGCUAAGCAGGGUUGAGCCUGGUCAGUACCUGGAUGGGAGACCUCCUGGGAAAACUAGGUUGCUGCUA
rnacentral:rRNA from 1 species